rnacentral:lncRNA from 1 species
CCUGCAACAAUGGCGGUUGUAGAGAUAGAGAGAGAGCAAUUGAGCAAUUGUUUAAUAUAUGACAAAAGCCUAUUAAAAUGACCCAAUAUUUAAUGCUAUUACAAUUAAACCCCCCAAAUUCCCUUACAAUUGAACCCUUCAUUACAAUUUAAUCCUUUUCUUUGUGACCAAGGCAAUCACACCAAUGAGAUCACAUAACAGGCCGAACGAAACCCUAAAAACCAGUCGGGUCGUCCUCUCCUUCCACCACCCCAAGCUCUCUCUAACGGUCUCUCACCAGUCACCACUCACCAAGUCGUCAGUGUAUUGGCGUGAGUAAUUUUUAGGGAAAUAGGAAUGUAAGUAUUGUGCAAAUAUUAAAGCAUAUCCAAAGAAGAUGCAAAAAUGUACACAUCAGUUAUAACAGUAAAAAAAGACCAUACUAAUAUUCUUCAACUGAAGUGCCAAAUCCUAUGUGGUGAUGAUAUGAAUUGGCAGCAAAAGAGGUUGCUGUCAAAAUUUGACAGCAGCUUCAAAUGUUUUUAUUAAUUAUUAAAUGUA